UGGGGAAUAUUGGUCAAUGGACGCAAGUCUGAACCAGCCAUGCCGCGUGAAGGAUGAAGGUCCUCUGGAUUGUAAACUUCUUUUAUAGGGGGCGAAAAAAGGUUUUUCUAAAUCACUUGACAGUACCCUAUGAAUAAGCACCGGCUAACUCCGUGCCAGCAGCCGCGGUAAUACGGAGGGUGCAAGCGUUAUCCGGAUUCACUGGGUUUAAAGGGUGCGUAGGCGGGUAGGUAAGUCAGAGGUGAAAUCCUGGAGCUUAACUCCAGAACUGCCUUUGAUACUAUCUAUCUUGAAUAUGGUGGAGGUAAGCGGAAUAUGUCAUGUAGCGGUGAAAUGCAUAGAUAUGACAUAGAACACCUAUUGCGAAGGCAGCUUACUACGCCUAUAUUGACGCUGAGGCACGAAAGCGUGGGGAUCAAACAGG
rnacentral:rRNA from 1 species